GAAACUGGCCUAGUGGUUAUAAUGUCCACCUCAGAUGUGGGAGACAUGGGUUCGAAUCCCAGCUGAGUCA